UUGACCUCGGAUCAGGUAGGGAUACCCGCUGAACUUAAGCAUAUCAAUAAGCGGAGGAAAAGAAACCAACAGGGAUUGCCUCAGUAACGGCGAGUGAAGCGGCAACAGCUCAAAUUUGAAAUCUGGCCUUUGGGUCCGAGUUGUAAUUUGUAGAGGAUGUUUUGGGUACCGCCGCGGUUUAAAUUUCUUGGAACAGAAUGUCAGAGAGGGUGAGAAUCCCGUCUGGAACUGCGGUAGGGCCUAUGUAAAACUCCUUCGACGAGUCGAGUUGUUUGGGAAUGCAGCUCAAAAUGGGUGGUAAAUUUCAUCUAAAGCUAAAUAUUGGCCAGAGACCGAUAGCGCACAAGUAGAGUGAUCGAAAGAUGAAAAGCACUUUGAAAAGAGAGUUAAACAGUAUGUGAAAUUGUUGAAAGGGAAGCGCUUGCAACCAGACUUGCGUGUGGCGGUUCCCCCUUGCUUCUGCUUGGGCUACUCCGUCAUAUCCAGGCCAACAUCGGUUCUAGGGGCUGGUUAAAGGCCUUGGGAAUGUACCUACCUCCGGGUAGACUUAUAGCCCAGGGUGUCAUGCGGCCACCCGGGACCGAGGAACGCGCUUCGGCGAGGAUGUUGGCGUAAUGGUUGUCAGCGACCCGUCUUGAAACACGGACCAAGGAGUCUAACAUCUAUGCGAGUGUUUGGGUGUCAAACCCGUACGCGAAAUGAAAGUGAACGGAGGUAGGAAGCCUUUUAGGCUGCACUAUCGACCGAUCCUGAUAUUUAUGGAUGGAUUUGAGUAAGAGCAUAGCUGUUGGGACCCGAAAGAUGGUGAACUAUGCCUGAAUAGGGUGAAGCCAGAGGAAACUCUGGUGGAGGCUCGCAGCGGUUCUGACGUGCAAAUCGAUCGUCAAAUUUGGGUAUAGGGGCGAAAGACUAAUC
rnacentral:rRNA from 1 species